UCCAAUCAAGACAUGCAGUCCAGGAACCUCCGUGGGCAUUACCGCAGUAUAUAAAUGAUGCUGAAGUGGGAAAACGUGUUUUCAAGUUCCUGUAUUUUCAUGUGGAGUUGCUGGUUGCCCAACGUAGAGGACUAGGAGUCAGGAGUCGGUGGCCGUAUGCUGGAGGCUGGAGCCGCGGGAGCGCGGCUCGCCUCGCUGCGGUUGUCGGCAGUGACGGAGAGAGACCAGCGCGGCUGGAGCGGGACAUUACAUUAGUUUCCUGCAAUAAAAUAUUUUUACAAUGUCGGUUUGUCUAAACUGGCCUGUAAACUAUUUCUAAUCAAAACCUGAAAUUGUGUCACAACAUGGCUGUAUUAUGAUUCCAUGUCAGAGGAAGGAUAUAUACGUGCAUUUGGUGGUGGCUUCCAGUUGUUGCUGUCAGAUGUUUGUUUGGGAAUGCAUUCAGAAGAGCUUAUCAAGGACUUGAGUACAAAACAAGCAUUUCCACAAAAAAGCAGUGACACAAAUCACUAUGUAAUAUAGUUAGCCUUUGAACAACAUGGAUUUGAACUGCAGGGGUCUACUUAUGAGCAGCUUUUCUCCCACCUCUACCACCUGAGACGGCGAAGACCAAUCUUCCUCUUCCUCCUUCUCCUUAGCCUGCUCAACUUGAAGACUAUGAUGAAGAGUUAUAUAAUGAUCCACUUGCAUUUAAUGAACAAUGAGGUAUUUCAACGCUGCCCAGACUUGUCUCAAACUUCUGGGCUUAAGCCUCCCGAGUAGCUGGUAUUACCGGUGUGCACCACCAUGCCCAGUGUUGCCUGUUUCUUGACUAUCAGAUAGUUUCCCUUGCAAAGUUAUCAAAGUGCUCCCCAGAAGACAUUAGGUAUUUGCUUUCUAGUCUACAUACAAUGAAAAGGAAAAAACGUCAGUUCCUGAAGCUCUCUCAAAACAUCAACAGAUGGAAAGACGUGCCCAUGUCCUCCCCUCCCUCCACUCUGGGGGCUUGGAAAUGCCGCAGCAGGGAGCAGGCCCCAGGCUGGACCUGCCCUGUCCUCACAAUGAGUGUGUGCAAAAGUGAACAAUAAAUCAUUUCAAAGAUGCAAGGAAGAAAAACCAAAACAUCAACAGAAUCUUCUUUCCCAUAAUCUUCAUGCACCUCCUGGUCCGGAUGAGUUUAUGUUCCCAUCUCUGAGCACAGGGAUUGAUUGUGAUGGCAUUUAUAGGACUGAGCGCCCCACACUCUGUGAUCCAGCAUGGAGUUAUGAUUUACAUCACCACAGGAAGAGUACAGAGGCUUCAACAGAAAAAAAGAAAUUGAAGUUGAAGUAUAAGGAGAAUUUUUACAUCACCCAGGUUCUAAUUUGGAAGGUUUCUAACAGCACUCUGUCCUCUUCUGGUGCUCACUGUCAAAGAAUUUGCACCCUGCAACACUAAGUGUUUGUGCUAGAAUCCACUUCUGAUGUUGGCUGCUCUGACACAGCUUCCAUUUGGGUCUCACUCUGUCGCCCAGACUGCAUUGCAGUGGGGUGAUCUCGACUCAUUGCAACCUCUGUCUCCCGGAUUCAAGUAAUUCUCCUGCCUCAGCCCCCCAAGUGGCUGGGUUUACAGGCAGAAAGGUGUUAAAUGGCUUGCAGAAUUGUUGGGAAGGCUAAGCUUCCAGGAGCAGCUCCCAAAGUCUCCACACACAACUGGACCACCAGGGAACCUGCUCCCUCCACCAGGACAGGACUUGGAAAGCUGCCACCGCAAUUACCAGCACCAGAAGGAUCUUGUCUCUGCUAAGUCUCUGUCCACAUAGUGAAUACCCCGUGCCCUGCCUCUCCCUGACUCAGGUCCCACUCCAGGUCUUGCCCAAGUCUUUCUGAUUGGUGGAACUUAAAUCACACCCAAAAUUCCAGCUGCAGGAGAGCUCUGAGAUUUCAUCUUUCCAACCUCUGUGUGCUACAUGGGGGUUGGAGCACUUGCUGACAAGCCUUGCAACCACCAGUGACAGGAUGUCCUCCACCUUUUCAAUCUGAUUUGCUCUUUGCCAUGCAGACCUGUGGAUGAAGAGCCAGAGUCCUCCAAGAAAAAGAAAAUGGAGUCCUAGAGAAGGAAGUAGAUUGACCUGUCCCGGCAUGUUGAAAAACUUGAUAGACACAUUGCUCUUCAGUUUGCCCUCCCACUCACAGCAUGCCAAGGUACUGUCUUCCCAGAAUUUUCACACUCUGUAAAUAAUUUUAAAGAUUAAGUAAAUGAACAAUGAUAACUUGUUUUGCUUUGUUCAUCAGUAAGGUUGAGCACUUCUUCAUAUGUUUAGAGGCCAUUUAUGUAUCUUUUGUAUGUGUCUAUGGAAACUCGUAUACUUGGCUUGUAUUUCUUUUGAGGUGUUAGUCUGUUUCCUGGGUUUUUUUUUUUUAUUUUUAUUUUUUGAGAUGGAGUCUCGCUCUGUCCCCCAGUCUGGAGUGCAGUGGCGCGAUCUCGGCUCAGUUCAAGCUCCGCCUCCUGGGUUCACGCCAUUCUCCUGCCUCAGCCUCCCGAGCAGCUGGGACUACAGGCGCCCACCACCACGCCCGGCUAAUUUUUUGUAUUUUCAGUAGAGACGGGGUUUCACCAUGUUAGCCAGGAUGGUCUGGAUCUCCUGACCUCGUGAUCCGCCCGCCUCGGCCUCCCAAAUUGCUGGGAUUACAGGCAUGAGCCACCACGCCCGGCCAUCUUUUUCCUGUUUAUAAGAAAUCUUGAUAUAUUGUGCUUUUUAACUUUUUUUCAUAUGUAGUGCUAUUAUUUCUUAGUCAUCUUUUAACUUUGUUUAUAGUUAUAUUUUACUGAAGAGAAAUGUUGCCUUUUUGUGUUGUUUUUCUUUGAUUUUAAGUGUUUUGUUUCCUUCCUUAAAAUGUCUUUCUAGCUGUUUAUUAAAAUAUUCUUCCUUAGCAUCUUUAAAAAGCCUUUUAUUUGUACAGUCUUAAAACCCAUGGAAAUAUGGGCUUUGGAUUUUGAUGAUCUUCUCCUAUCUUGACUGUCUUCUGGAAUCAAAUGGAUACUCUGGAGGAAUAUUCCAUCACCUAGAACCUCAAAUUAUAGCCAUGUUUUAUUUUAUUUUUAUUACUGUACACAAAAUAGAAUGAGUUUCUGUAUUCAUCUUCUUUCUUCCCUUUUUAAAAAGUUUUCAGUUCUGGGAUACAUGUGCAGGUUUGUCAUAUAGGUACAUUCGUGUCGUGGAGGUCUGUUGUACACAUUAUUUCAUCAACUCGGUAUUAAGCCUCGUACCGAUUAGUUAUUUUUCCUGGUUCUCUCCCUCCUCCCACCCUCCACCCUCAGGUAGGCCCCAGUGUCUAUUAUUCCCCUCUAUGUGUCCAUGUGUUCUUAUCAUUUAGCUCCCACCUGUAAGUGAGAACAUGGGUAGGGAUUUUUUUUAUUAGGCAAAAGGCAGGAAUGGAUACCAAGGUAGGGAAUGUGGGCUGGGCUGUGUAGAGCACGUGGAGGGGUGGGGGGCUGCAGGUCACCAUAUCUGCUGGCGAUGGCUGUCUUGAGUCAUGGGCCACCUGGUGCUCUGACCAGUGGCAGCAAGGCUGUAUGAACCAGUUCAGUUUUCCUUCCUGAGGUGGGACACUCACAACUUUGGUUGGAUAUUUUGGCUCGCCUAAGGCCAGUUCCUGGAAUUCUUUAAGUAAAAGGCAAGGUUAAGCAUUAUGAGAGCACCAAAGAGCAAGCUUUUUUUUUUUUUCUAUAAAGGUCAGAUAACGAAUUGAUACCUGAUACGUUUAAGCCUUUUUGUGAAAUACCAUACACAAAGAUAAAAGCGAACAAAAUGUAAAUGACAGUUUCUUGAGUGAUUAGAACAUGAAAAGUCAUGCAGUCACCACUCCCGUCCAGAAGAGGAGCAGCGCCAGCUCCCCCAGACCUGUCCUACGAUUUUCCCAUCGUAACCCUCACUACUCCCAAAGGUCACCGUUGUCCUCACAAUUCUUCUCUUUAACAGAUCUUUACAAAACUAUGCAGCCCUAAACAUUAUGUUACUUUUCCUUACAUCUGAAUUGUAUUACAAAUGGAAUUUUAAAACUAUGCAAUAUUUACAUCUAGUUUUUUUUACACAUUAUUAAGUUAGUGAGAUGUAUCCAUGUUGUUACGUAUACCGUAAUUUGUUCAUUUUCUUCACCUAAAAGCCAUUGUAUGAGUAUACCUUUAUCCAUUCUGUCAUUAAUGGACAGUUGAGUCAUGUACAGUUUGGGGCUAUUGUGAAUAGAACUGUCACGUUCUUGUGGAUGUCUCUUGAGACAUGUAUGUGCUCGUUCCUGUUGGUUACAUACUUAGGAAUGGAAUUCCUGGGCCUUAGGGUAUGCAUACAUUCUAGGAUAGUGCCAAACAGAUGACUAAGUAUUUGUAUAACUCAUGUCUUUUCAGCAAUUUAUGAGAGGUCUGUUUCUCUGCAUUCUCAUCAAUACUUAGUAGUGUGUUAGUCUUUUUACUGGCGGUCAUGUGGGUAAUGUGUAGUAGUGUCUCACUGUGGUUUUGAUUUGCGUUUUUCUUUUGGCUGGGGAGGCUGAACACUUUUUCUUUUUUUUUUUGAGACGGAGUCUCACUCUGUCGCCUGGGCUGGAGUGCAGAGGUGUGAUCUCAGCUCGCUGCAACCUCUGCCUCCCAGGCUCAAGCGAUUCUCCUGCCUCAGCCUCCUGAGUAGCUGGGAUUACAGGCACUCGCCACUAUGCCUGGCUGAUGUAUUGUAUUUUUAGUAGAGACAGGGGUUUUACCAUGUUGGCCAGGCUGGUCUCAAACUCCCUGACCUCGCGAUUCACCCGCCUCGGACUCCCAAGGUGCUGGGAUUACAGGCAUGAGCCACCGCCCCCCACCGGCUGAAUACCUUUUUGUAUGCAAAUUGACCAUGUGGAUAGUGCCUUUUGGGAUGCACCUGUUCAGGUUUUUUGCCCAUUUUGUUUGUUUGGGGGGUGGGAUUUAUUGGCUCUGCAAGCAGGAUAUGAACUUUUGCCCAUUUACAAAAUCAGAUUCUCGUUGUUUUCCUUAUUGCUUUAAAGAGUUCUUUAUGUAGUCUCCAUAUAAGUCCCUUGUCAAACAGAUAUGUGGCAAAUACCUUCUCCCAGUGU